rnacentral:rRNA from 1 species
UAGGGAAUCUUCGGCAAUGGGGGGAACCCUGACCGAGCAACGCCGCGUGAGUGAAGAAGGUUCUCGGAUCGUAAAGCUCUGUUGUUAAGGAAGAACGAGUGUGAGAAUGGAAAGUUCAUGCUGUGACGGUACUUAACCAGAACGGGACGGCUAACUACGUGCCAGCAGCCGCGGUAAUACGUAGGUCCCGAGCGUUGUCCGGAUUUAUUGGGUGUAAAGCGAGCGAAGGGGGUUAGAAAAGUCUGAAGUGAAAGGCAGUGGCUCAACCAUUGUAGGCUUUGGAAACUGUAGAGCUUGAGUGCAGAAGGGGCGGAAGGAAUUCCAUGUGUAGCGGUGAAAUGCGUAGAUAUAUGGAGGAACACCGGUGGCGAAAGCGGCUCUCUGGGCUGUAACUGACGCUGAGGCACGAAAGCGUGGGGAGCGAACAGG